GCCGCUGCGGUGGGUGUCGGUGGACCAAUCUCGGUUGCCAGGGUCAGAGGAAGCCGGGAAUUUCCGGUUAGCAUGUCGACGGCCCAGACCACCUGGCUUCGCAGUGACAGAAAAACUGGCUGUUCGAGCUUCUGAGAUCUCAGUUCCCAGACCAAGGAUUGAAUCCAGGCAAUGGCACUGAGAGUACUGACCUAACAGGUUUGAUUCCUGGGACACUCCAACACUUAAAACUCAAUCAGCAGAGAAACAGUCAGCCAAGAAGGGCUGAGAAGGAGCCAUCAAUGAGACAAUAUAAAGGAGGAGAGCUGAGGAAGAAAAAGUUUUCAGAAGUAGCAAGUGGUUCACUCUGUCAAAUGCUGCUGAGAGAUCAAGUAGGAUGAACAGAAACCAGGUGAUCACUGGAACUGGCCCCAGUGCAUCCUGGGAGGAGUCAUGUUGGAGCCGUUUUCAGCUGAGUGAGGACCGCAGUCAGAUUAAGAAGAGGUGAAAACACAAAGGGAGGUGAGAGCAUGGAGUGGGUGAAUAUAGAUAUUGCACCCCAGAAGUGUUACUGGAAAAGGGAGCAGAGAAUGAUGUUGCAGUUGGAGGGUUAUGUAGAGCCCAUGGAGAGUUCUGUGUAACAAGCCAGGUUACCAGGGCAGCAUGGUGAUGGACUGCAUGUGGAAACACUGCCACUGGCUGGAGCAGAGGCCCUUCAUUCUAGCCAUAAAGGGGAAGGAAGGGAAGGUGGGCCCAGGGAAAGAUGUGAAUUCUGUUAUGAUGGCCAGCAGAGGAAAAUUUUGUAUGAGUUGCUUCUGUUCUGUCUUUGUAAUAUGAGACCAGGUCAUCUACUGAGAGCACAUGUCAAAUACCAGUGGUUGGACUUGUUUACUGGGGGUUUGAAAAGAUUGGAGAAGUAAUUAGUGACAGUCAUUUUGGAGAGUGGGGACACCAAUACAGAAGGAUUGAAGAGAAGUGACUAAGAUGAUUAGGCUGACUUGAGGGCCCAUUUGAGAUUGAUGUUUAUGAAAGUAAAGUGAGGGGAAUUCUUUGGUGGUUCCAUGGUUAGGACUCCAUGCUUUCACUGUUUAGAGUAAGAAUUCAAGCCCUCUUGGGAGUUGGAGAAGACUCUUGAGAGUCCCUCGGACUGCAAAGAGAUCCAACCAGUCCAUCCUAAAGGAGAUCAGUCCCGGGUGUUCAUUGGAAGGACUGAUGCUAAAGCUGAAACUCCAAUACUUUGGCCACCUCAUAUGAAAAGUUGACUCAUUGGAAAAGACUCUGAUGCUGGGAGGGAUUGGGGGCAGGAGGAGAAGGGGAUGACAGAGGAUGAGAUGGCUGGAUGGCAUCACCAACUUGAUGGACAUGAGUUUGAGUAAACUCCAGGAGUUGAUGUUGGCCAGGGAGGCCUGGCGUGCUGCGAUCCAUGGGGUCGCAAAGAGUCGGACACGACUGAGCGACUGAACUGAACUGAAGUGGGAAACUAAGGUCCCAGAAGCUGUGAGGCACAGCCAAAACAGAUUAAAAAUUUAAAACAUUGAGAAUCAGCAUGCUUAUGGAUUUCUCUAGCAGUAUCCACCUGUUUCAGUACAGGUGAGGAUGUAGGAAAUAAUAAGUGUCAGAUCAUUAUUUCCUAAAUAUACACACAUGUAUUUCUUCAGAGACAUUAAAUGGGUCCAAACAAAGGAAGACAAGGUAUGAAUUGCAAAGCUUUUAAUGAAAAUGUUUGUUUUUCUUUUACAACAUGCAUAAAUUCACAUAGGUUUGAUAGCAGUUAAUUCAAUGCUUACAGACUUAUCUGCCUCUGAAUUUAGUCAUAAUGGAUUAAUUUAAGCUAAUAAAACUAAGGAAAAUCAACAGCUCAUCUAAUUCUUCUUUAUAUUCCUUCAGGAUCAGCAAGAUGCAUAAAUGAGUUCUUUAUAAAGGCUAAAAUAGGUUGAUGUAUAAAUUGUAAGCUUAUUUUAAAAAUUCUGUGUACAUGCAACAUUUCUAUGAAAACAUUUAAACCAAAUGUCACACUUGUGAAAACAAAAUUCUUGAUUUGGGCUGUUUCCAUUUUUAGCCAUUUGACGUUCUGCUCUUUUUGACUGAAUAGAUGAGAGUUCACAUGCCUACACAGGUGGGACUUUGCCUAAGAUCAAUUUGCUUAAAGAUAUUCUUUUGUUAUAUUUUUGUUGAAUAUUAGGGAGUACUUAUAUCAUUCAA